GACGAACGCUGGCGGCGUGCUUAACACAUGCAAGUCGAACGGAAAGGCCCUGCUUGCAGGGUACUCGAGUGGCGAACGGGUGAGUAACACGUGGGUGAUCUGCCCUGCACUUCGGGAUAAGCCUGGGAAACUGGGUCUAAUACCGGAUAGGAGCCAUUUUUAGUGUGAUGGUUGGAAAGUUUUUUCGGUGUAGGAUGAGCUCGCGGCCUAUCAGCUUGUUGGUGGGGUAAUGGCCUACUAAGGCGGCGACGGGUAGCCGGCCUGAGAGGGUGGACGGCCACAUUGGGACUGAGAUACGGCCCAGACUCCUACGGGAGGCAGCAGUGGGGAAUAUUGCACAAUGGGCGCAAGCCUGAUGCAGCGACGCCGCGUGGGGGAUGACGGCCUUCGGGUUGUAAACUCCGUUCGCUAGGGACGAAGCUUUUUGUGACGGUACCUAGAGAAGAAGCACCGGCUAACUACGUG
rnacentral:rRNA from 1 species